ensembl:lncRNA
AGUCAACACACACCGUGACAUUGGGAGAGACUUGAUUCAAGAGGAUUAGAUUUGGAGUUGUUUUCCUCCUGCUAUGCACUUGUACUGUAAGCAGAGGGGACCAUAAGGAUUUAGGUUCAUAGGGGCUUGAGCUGGCACCAUCAAGAGGGGGAAAUCUUUUUCAUUUGAUACAGACAUUAAACUUUAGACAGGAAAAACUCCCUGAGGAGGAGACAUAAAAAAAUGAAACCACAAAAAGUCUGGAAGAACUUGACUCAAAAGAGGGCAUGGGUAAGGACGUUCCCCAGGGAAAUACUUACCUUCAGCAGAACUUCCAACAAUACAGGUAGGUGGCGCGGCGGUCCUUUGUGGGAAAAUGUUGUCACCAAACUGUCAUCAAAGUGGGGCUCAAAACAGGUGGGGCUCACCUGCCCUCAAUGACGGGUCACCACUGCACACUGCAUCGUUGCAGCCUUGCAGACAAGCAUCCGCCCAGUGCUGAUCAGCCUGACUGCUUACAACAACAACAAAAACUGUGUGGGAGGAAGAUAGUUAUUUUACACACACUCACUCAGCACAGGAUGAGUGUGUGUAUGAAGACGGCGAGGACCAAAGUUCUUACUCCAGCUGUCCUGCCACCCACAAAUCUCUGUGAAUUGUGGCCAGUGGGUUGAACAGGCAGAGGAAUGCUUUCAUUUUGCUGCCUAUGUAUUGGAAUGGCAACAUUAAAGGAAUUUAAAACAUGCCCCUAAUGUAUUAAUAGGCAUCUGUUUGCUAUAAGAGAGUGCUAAUUAACGGCUAUGAUUGUGGAGGAGAAAGAGAGAAACAGGGGGGUUGAGAGAGAGAGGGAGAGGUUCUGUUUCACUUGCUUUGGCAAUGUUAACAUAUGCUUCCCAUGCCAAUAAAGCCCAUUGAAUUGAGAGAGCGAGAGCCAUAAUGUUUGUAUUUAGUAUAAAUUGCUGUUUUUGUUUGGUGAUUUGAAAGGCAGGAUAAACAGAAUAAAGAAUGAACUUUUCUGUUUACAUUAGCAGAGUAGUUAGCCCCAUAUGUAUAUGCCACUUCCACUACUUGCUCCAGUCCUAUGAAAUGCAUGGAAAUGAUUAGAUGAAAAAUGUGCGCUGCGAUGGUCACAGUUAUUCUGGCAAUCAACACAGAGAAAAAUAUUCUGUAAAAAGCCUCCCUUCUUCCAUUUUCCUGCCAUUAUACCUGCGAAUUCACAUACACCCAAGUUCUUAUCUUCCUUACAUAGCCAUAUAUUCAAAUCUCAUCUUCCUAUUAUCACCAUCUACAUUUAAAUAUCUAUUCUUUAUCCAUGUACAGUCAAAC